CCUACGUGAGGCAGCAGUGAGGAAUAUUGGUCCAUGGGCGGAAGCCUGAACCAGCCAAGUAGCGUGCGGGAUGAAGGCCCUACGGGUCGUAAACCGCUUUUGCACGGGGAUAACACCCUCCACUUGUGGAGGUCUGCAGGUACCGUGCGAAUAAGGGCCGGCUAAUUCCGUGCAAGCAGCCGCGGUACUACGGAAGGCACGAGCGUUAUCCGGAUUCAUUGGGCUUAAAGGGAGCGUAGGCGGGCGUUCAAGUCAGCUGUAAAAUCGCGCGGCUCAACCGCGCCCCGCAGUUGAAACUGGACGCCUUGAGUGCACAACAGGCAGGCGGAAUUCGUGGUGUAGCGGUGAAAUGCAUAGAGAUCACGAGGAACCCCGAUUGCGAAGGCAGCCUGCCGGGGUGCGACUGACGCUGAGGCUCGAAGGUGCGGGUAUCAAACAGGAUUAGAUACCCUGGUAGUC
rnacentral:rRNA from 1 species